CCUACGGGUGGCAGCAGUGAGGAAUAUUGGUCAAUGGACGAGAGUCUGAACCAGCCAAGUAGCGUGAAGGAUGACUGCCCUAUGGGUUGUAAACUUCUUUUAUAUGGGAAUAAAACGUUCCACGUGUGGGAUUUUGUAUGUACCAUAUGCAUAAGGAUCGGCUAACUCCAUGCCAGCACACGCGGUAAUACGGAGGAUACGAGCGUUAUCCGGAUUUAUUGGGUUUAAAGGGAGCGUAGGUGGAUUGUUAAGUCAGUUGUGAAAGUUUGCGGCUCAACCGUAAAAUUGCAGUUGAAACUGGCAGUCUUGAGUACAGUAGAGGUGGGCGGAAUUCGUGGUGUAGCGGUGAAAUGCUUAGAGAUCACGAAGAACUCCGAUUGCGAAGGCAGUUCACUGGACUGCAACUGACACUGAGGCUCGAAAGUGUGGGUAUCAAACAGGAUUAGAUACCCUUGUAGUC
rnacentral:rRNA from 1 species